rnacentral:rRNA from 1 species
UCGGGCUUGACACCCAAACACUCGCAUAGAUGUUAGACUCCUUGGUCCGUGUUUCAAGACGGGCCGCUUACAGCCAUUACGCCAGCAUCCUAGCAGAUGCGCGGACCUCAGUCCAGGCUGGUGGUAUGACGUCUCCCCUAUAUGGCCAACCCGAAGGA